CCUACGGGAGGCAGCAGUGAGGAAUAUUGCACAAUGGGCGAAAGCCUGAUGCAGCAACGCCGCGUGAGCGAUGAAGGCCCUCGGGUCGUAAAGCUCUGUCCUCAAGGAAGAUAAUGACGGUACUUGAGGAGGAAGCCCCGGCUAGCUACGUGCCAGCAGCCGCGGUAAU
rnacentral:rRNA from 1 species